rnacentral:rRNA from 1 species
AGCAGCCGCGGUAAUUCCAGCUCCAAUAGCGUAUAUUAAAGUUGUUGCAGUUAAAAAGCUCGUAGUUGAAUUUCGGGAUCAAUGUGUUGGUCGUGCCUUGGUACGUACUGGCAUUAUCGAUUCCUACCUUCUGAAGAACCUCGAUGUCAUUAAUUUGGUGUCUUGGGGAAUCAGGACUGUUACUUUGAAAAAUUAGAGUGUUUAAAGCAGGCUCGCGCUUGAAUACAUUAGCAUGGAAUAAUGAAAUAGGACGUUUGAUUCUAUUUUGUUGGUUUCUAGGAUCGACGUAAUGAUUAAUAGGGAUAGUUGGGGGCAUUAGUAUUCAAUUGUCAGAGGUGAAAUUCUUGGAUUUAUUGAAGACUAACUACUGCGAAAGCAUUUGCCAAGGAUGUUUUCAUUAAUCAAGAACGAAAGUUAGGGGAUCGAAGACGAUCAGAUACCGUCGUAGUC